CUACAAUAGUUUUUGGAGAUCUAUUGUUAAUAAUGAUGCUUAAGUAUGCACAAAAGCAAAAUUCACAUAUUAAAGCUGCAACUAGUGGGAAAGGAAGAUUUGCUUCGAAACAUGUUAGAAGGCUAGAGAUGUAUAAGAUUUUGAAGAAUUUGAAAAGAGCUGCAAACUAUAUCGAAGUUUGUAGAGUUUAUUGAGUUUCAUAAUGAAUUUUCAAAUUCAAAAGGUUGUUCUAGUAAUAUUCAAAAGCUAGCAAAUAUGUGAAAGGAACAAGUUAGACAUAGACAAGUUUUAAGGACUUUGAAGGCUUAAGAAAUUAUGGAAGAGUGUUAACUAAAAGAAG
rnacentral:lncRNA from 1 species